CAGGGAGGGAAGCAGGGACGCAGGGAGGCAGGGAGCAGGGAGAAAGGACGCAGGGAGGCAGGGACGCAGGGAGGCAGGGAGCAGGGAGAAAGGACGCAGGGAGGCAGGGAGCAGGGAGAAAGGACGCAGGGAGGCAGGGAGCAGGGAGAAAGGACGCAGGGAGGCAGGGAGCAGGGAGAAAGGACGCAGGGAGGCAGGGAGCAGGGAGGCAGGUAGGCAGGGAGCAGGGACGCAGGGAGGCAGGGAGCAGGGAGAAAGGACGCAGGGAGGCAGGGAGCAGGGAGAAAGGACGCAGGGAGGCAGGGAGCAGGGUAAAGGGAGGCAGGGAGCAGGGAGGCAGGGA
ensembl:lncRNA